GUUAUCUGAGGUGGAAGAUUUCGUACCCGUCCACACGCCGAUGGUUUGACAGGGGAAACCCGAGAGAUGCAGGAGCAUGGUACGCCUGCCAGAUAAC
rfam:Clostridium bolteae CAG:59 genomic scaffold, scf64